AUGGACCACAGGGAAGGAGGAUUCACGUGCCUCCUUAUUGCACUCGGCUGGCAGCGUUCUCAGUUCGUGCCCCCAGAAUUCCUGCCCUUGCCACUUGGGGUCUCGUUGUCUGCCCAGAGAAACCUGUUUCCUGCAAAUCUUGUUACUGCAGCUUUCCGAACGGUAAGAAAUGUGUGUGAGUUUUGGAUGCGAGCUGCACUGCAGGCAGACCGAGUGACUUUUGCUAUUAAACAAACAAACAAAACAAAACAAAAACCACGAAGAUGGUGUAAAAAAUAUCAAAAGUCGUACUACUUCUGGUGGGUGGGACUGUUAGAAGCACCUGACGUAGUAAUUCAUAGGAAUUCCACAGCAAUUGGGGUGGUUUUGGG
rnacentral:lncRNA from 1 species